AGUGAACGCUGGCGGUAGGCCUAACACAUGCAAGUCGAACGGCAGCACAGUAAGGGCUUGCUCUUACGGGUGGCGAGUGGCGGACGGGUGAGGAAUACAUCGGAAUCUACUUUUUCGUGGGGGAUAACGUAGGGAAACUUACGCUAAUACCGCAUACGACCUACGGGUGAAAGCAGGGGAUCUUCGGACCUUGCGCGAUUGAAUGAGCCGAUGUCGGAUUAGCUAGUUGGCGGGGUAAAGGCCCACCAAGGCGACGAUCCGUAGCUGGUCUGAGAGGAUGAUCAGCCACACUGGAACUGAGACACGGUCCAGACUCCUACGGGAGGCAGCAGUGGGGAAUAUUGGACAAUGGGCGCAAGCCUGAUCCAGCCAUACCGCGUGGGUGAGGAAGGCCUUCGGGUUGUAAAGCCCUUUUGUUGGGAAAGAAAAGCAGCAGGUUAAUACCCCGCUGUUCUGACGGUACCCAAAGAAUAAGCACCGGCUAACUUCGUG
rnacentral:rRNA from 1 species